rnacentral:tRNA from 1 species
GGCUGGUUAGCUCAGUGGGGUGAGCGCAGUGCUGAGAACACCGAGGUCCCAGGUUCGAUUCCUGCUCGGUCCA